rnacentral:rRNA from 1 species
AAUCAACGCUGGCGGCGUGCCUAACACAUGCAAGUCGCACGAGAAAGGGACUUCGGUCCUGAGUACAGUGGCGCACGGGUGAGUAACACGUGAAUAAUCUACCUUCGAGUGGGGAAUAACUGAGAGAAAUCUUAGCUAAUACCGCAUAAUACCUACGGGUCAAAGCAGCAAUGCGCUUGAAGAGGAGUUCGCGGCAGAUUAGUUAGUUGGCAGGGUAAUGGCCACCAAGACGAUGAUCUGUAUCCGGCCUGAGAGGGCGCACGGACACACUGGAACUGAAACACGGUCCAGACUCCUACGGGAGGCAGCAGUGGGGAAUUUUGCGCAAUGGGGGAAACCCUGACGCGGCAACGCCGCGUGGAGGAUGAAAUCCCUUGGGAUGUAAACUCCUUUCGAUCGGGAAGAUAAUGACGGUACCGAGAGAAGAAG